GAUAUCAACUGAAAAAGUCAUCAACAACAAAGUUGAAUAACUCAUCAAGAUCUAAAACUUUUAUUUUGGUCAUUUCUUCAUACGACAAAGUGAUAGUAAUAUUGUUCAUAAAAUUGACAUAUCUCUUAUCUGGUUUUAUAAACUAUAACACAUAUAUGUAAAAUUUGUGAAUAAUAUUACUAACAUUUCGUCGGAUGAAGAAAUAACAAAAGUAAAAGUUUUAGAUCUUGAUGAGUUAUUCAACUUUGUUGUUGAUGACUUUUUCAAUUGAAAUC
rnacentral:pre_miRNA from 1 species